UACGUAGGGGGCAAGCGUUGUCCGGAUUUAUUGGGCGUAAAGAGCGUGUAGGCGGCCAGACAGGUCUGCUGUGAAAACUCGAGGCUCAACCUCGAGAUGUCGGCGGAAACCUUCUGGCUAGAGUCCGGAAGAGGAGAGUGGAAUUCCUGGUGUAGCGGUGAAAUGCGCAGAUAUCAGGAAGAACACCUAUGGCGAAGGCAGCUCUCUGGGACGGUACUGACGCUGAGACGCAAAGCGUGGGGAGCGAACAGG
rnacentral:rRNA from 1 species